UCCCUUAGAUGUCCUGGGCCGCACGCGCGCUACACUGAUGCAUGCAACGAGUUUAUAACCUUGGCCUGAAAGGUCUGGGUAAUCUUUUGAACGUGCAUCGUGAUAGGGAUAGAUUAUUGCAAUUGUUAAUCUUGAACGAGGAAUUCCUAGUAAACGCGAGUCAUCAGCUCGCAUUGAUUACGUCCCUGCCCUUUGUACACACCGCCCGUCGCACCUACCGAUUGAAUGGUUCGGUGAAGAUCUCGGACUUCGAUAUUUAUUCUUUAUUGAGUUUAUAUUGUGGGAAGUUAUCUAAACCUCAUCAUUUAGAGGAAGGUGAAGUCGUAACA
rnacentral:rRNA from 1 species